rnacentral:piRNA from 1 species
UAGAACACAAUCCUAAGGAGAUGCAAAGGC